rnacentral:ncRNA from 1 species
UUAAAGUAGAGGUUGCGCGAAUGAAGAGUAGCGGAUCGGAUGCGGCGGCGCAGACGAAGAUCCGUAAAAGGCAAACGCGCCGAAGGAUGUGAGGACACCGCGAGUCACAGUCCUGGGCAUAGGGCGAACAGCUUUAUGACUGUCAUCCAAAGACGGAUGGGGCGCUGCUUAA